rnacentral:rRNA from 1 species
UGCGUAGGGUGCGAGCGUUGUCCGGAAUUACUGGGCGUAAAGAGCUCGUAGGUGGUUUGUCGCGUUGUUCGUGAAAUCUCACGGCUUAACUGUGAGCGUGCGGGCGAUACGGGCAGACUAGAGUACUGCAGGGGAGACUGGAAUUCCUGGUGUAGCGGUGGAAUGCGCAGAUAUCAGGAGGAACACCGGUGGCGAAGGCGGGUCUCUGGGCAGUAACUGACGCUGAGGAGCGAAAGCGUGGGGAGCGAACAGG